GGGACGCUGUCCUGGCUCCCAGUUCUUUCCUCCACUAUCUCAGACUUUGUGCCUUCAUCAGGCAAUCCAGACAUCUGGUCUUUCUUCAGACUCAACUCUGAAAAGGCUUCCAGCUGUCUCCGAAUUUCCUGGAUGAAUUCUCCUCGGAGCCGAAGCUGAUCCUCAAAACUUGUGAGCUUGGUGAGGAAGACGACGAGGUCAGCAUCUGAUCGGCCCCUGAGGGUCGUGCCUUUGCCCGAGGAGCCACCCUAAGGCAGGUGAUGAGAAAGAGAACAGACAUCGAUUGUUGAGCAGAGCCUCCCUGAGCAAAAUGCUGAGCACAGUCGCUAAGAGUCUGGAGUGCUCGCCCCUGUCCUGAAGGCCUUCCCAGUCUCAACUCCUCGAAUGUGCACAAGGACCCUGGGACGCCGCUGCUCCUAAUAGCUGCUCCCAUAUCCAGAGAAGGAAACAGACGCUGAGAGAGAUGAUGUGUCAGCCCCCUCACACAGCUAGUAGGGGGCAGAGAUGCGGUUCACAGCCUGGUUGCCUUUUCCCAGGGCCUGUGUUCUGUCCUCCCUGUCUCUUUUGAUGCCAUAUCACGAGUGGGUAUGCACACUGACUGGCCCAUGCAGGGUGGGUGACACGCCUUAUUUCACUUGAUCUGCGAGCCCUAGAAGGUACUGGGACUUAUGGGUGAGGAAACUGGGACACAGGGAGGAUAAGUAAGUGAGUUGCCAGGAUUUCACAGCCGGUAGGGGCUGUCUGCCUUCCCAGCUUACGCUCCUCACCAGCUCAGGGCUGUGCAGAAAUGGUGAUUCCCAGCCCGGUCACUGGUGAGCAGACUGAGGCAAGAGCUGGCUGCCCUAGUCCUGUCUCUGAAGUGGGCGCGACAGAGACGGGUCACAAAGUGCACCCGGGCAUGUGGUAGACACUCCCAGAUGGAGGCCCUCAGCCCAGAAGCUGCUUCCUCCUCCAAGCUGUGCUUACGUAUUUGUCGUGGAGCAGGCAGAAGCCACGAGCCCCAGGCACCUCAAGGUCUUGCUGUCUGUCUGUCUGUGUCUGUGGCCAGAGAGACAUUCAUUUCGCCACCUUCUCCCGGCCAGGCAGUCCCAGACUCACCUUCACAACUUUGGAGACGCGAACAGGGUCGGCGGUCCCCUAGAAGCACCUCUCCUUCAGGAAACCGCAGACGAUGUCGAUGGCUUCCUUGACCUGCGUUCGGAAACACGUGUUUGGCAGGAGGUGGUCUUCGAUGAACUUGUCCCGUUGAUUGGCUUGGGUAUUUCUGAGCUUCUUCUUGAUGCUCAAGCAGGAAUGGGAGAGACAGUGGUGGCCUGCAAAACCCGUUAGUUUCUAUCUCUUCUGCGGCCUAGGUCUAGGCUGUUGUUAUUUUCCCUUCCUUGAAAGGGAGGCGCUGUGUCCUGAGUCUGGGCUGAUACUGGUUCCCUUUCUUUACAAGGGGGGAGCCAUACACACCCCUGUUCUUUGCCUUUCAGUAAAUCCAACACCCUUCUGAACCUGUGUCUCCCUGCUCUUUCCCCUACUUUCUGAGACUUACUUUGCCUUUAACCAGCAGCCUAGAAUAUCAGGCCUUUCUUUGUUCUGAAAAUGUUGCUUUUUGACCCAGGUUAGUACUUUACCCAAGGGAAAUUGCAAGUAAAAACAUUUUUAACAAUU
rnacentral:lncRNA from 1 species